ensembl:misc_RNA Metazoa_SRP Metazoan signal recognition particle RNA
GCCAGGUGUGGUGGCGCACGCCUGUAAUCCCAUCUACAAGGGAGGCUGAGGCAUGAGAAUCGUUUGAACCCGGGAGACAGAGGUUGCAGUGAGCCAAGGUUGCACCACUGCACUCCAGCCUGGGUGACAGAGCGAGACUCUGCCUCAA